rnacentral:rRNA from 1 species
UUGACCUCAGAUCAGGUAGGAAUACCCGCUGAACUUAAGCAUAUCAAUAAGCGGAGGAAAAGAAACCAACAGGGAUUGCCCUAGUAACGGCGAGUGAAGCGGCAACAGCUCAAAUUUGAAAUCUGGCGCAAGCCCGAGUUGUAAUUUGUAGAGGAUGUUUCUGGCGACGUACCUUCCGAGUUCCCUGGAACGGGACGCCAUAGAGGGUGAGAGCCCCGUACGGUUGGUUGCCUAGCCUCUGUGAAACUCCUUCGACGAGUCGAGUAGUUUGGGAAUGCUGCUCUAAAUGGGAGGUAUACGUCUUCUAAAGCUAAAUACCGGCCAGAGACCGAUAGCGCACAAGUAGAGUGAUCGAAAGAUGAAAAGCACUUUGAAAAGAGGGUUAAAUAGUACGUGAAAUUGUUGAAAGGGAAGCGUUUAUGACCAGACUUGGGCAGGUUGAUCAUCCGUGGUUCUCCGCGGUGCACUCUGCCUGCCCAGGCCAGCAUCAGUUCAGUUCGGGGGAUAAAGGCUUCGGGAAUGUAGCUCCCUCGGGAGUGUUAUAGACCGUUGCGUGAUACCCUGAUCUGGACUG